rnacentral:rRNA from 4 species
UGGUGGGUAGUUUGACUGGGGCGGUCUCCUCCUAAAGAGUAACGGAGGAGCACGAAGGUUGGCUAAUCCUGGUCGGACAUCAGGAGGUUAGUGCAAUGGCAUAAGCCAGCUUGACUGCGAGCGUGACGGCGCGAGCAGGUGCGAAAGCAGGUCAUAGUGAUCCGGUGGUUCUGAAUGGAAGGGCCAUCGCUCAACGGAUAAAAGGUACUCCGGGGAUAACAGGCUGAUACCGCCCAAGAGUUCAUAUCGACGGCGGUGUUUGGCACCUCGAUGUCGGCUCAUCACAUCCUGGGGCUGAAGUAGGUCCCAAGGGUAUGGCUGUUCGCCAUUUAAAGUGGUACGCGAGCUGGGUUUAGAACGUCGUGAGACAGUUCGGUCCCUAUCUGCCGUGGGCGCUGGAGAACUGAGGGGGGCUGCUCCUAGUACGAGAGGACCGGAGUGGACGCAUCACUGGUGUUCGGGUUGUCAUGCCAAUGGCACUGCCCGGUAGCUAAAUGCGGAAGAGAUAAGUGCUGA